rnacentral:tRNA from 1 species
GGAGGAGUGUCCGAGUGGUUGAAGGAGGCGGUCUUGAAAACCGUUAUACCGUAAGGUAUCGGGGGUUCGAAUCCCUCCUCCUCCG